rnacentral:rRNA from 1 species
CCUACGGGGGGCAGCAGUGAGGAAUAUUGGUCAACGGGCGUAAGCCUGAACCAGCCAAGUAGCGUGCAGGAUGACGGCCCUACGGGUUGUAAACUGCUUUUAUACGGGAAUAACGUGCCUUACGUGUAGGGUUUUGUAUGUACCGCAUGAAUAAGGACCGGCUAAUUCCGUGCCAGCAGCCGCGGUAAUACGGAAGGUCCGGGCGUUAUCCGGAUUUAUUGGGUUUAAAGGGAGCGUAGGCCGCAUGUUAAGCGUGCCGUGAAAUGUCCGGGCUCAACCCGGGCCUUGCGGCGCGAACUGGCGUGCUUGAGUGCGCGGAAAGCAGGCGGAAUUCGUGGUGUAGCGGUGAAAUGCUUAGAUAUGACGAAGAACCCCGAUUGCGAAGGCAGCUUGCUGCAGCGGUACUGACGCUGAUGCUCGAAGGCGCGGGUAUCGAACAGGAUUAGAUACCCGUGUAGUC